rnacentral:rRNA from 1 species
GGAGCCGUAGCGAAAGCGAGUUUUAACUGAGCGUUCAGUUACUUGACGUAGACCCGAAACCGGGCGACCUACCCAUGAGCAGGAUGAAGCGAAAGUAAAAUUUCGUGGAGGUCCGAACCCACGAGCGUUGAAAAGCUCGGGGAUGACUGGUGGGUAGCGGUGAAAUUCCAAUCGAGCCCGGAGAUAGCUGGUUCUCCCCGAAAUAGCUUUAGGGCUAGCCUCAAGGUGAGAGAUGCGGAGGUAGAGCACUGAAUGUUGUAGGGGGGAUUGAACCUACCGAAGACUAGCAAACUCCGAAUGCCGUCAUCGUCUACUGGGGAGUCAGACUGUGGGUGAUAAGAUUCAUAGUCGAAAGGGCAACAGCCCAGAUCGUCAGCUAAGGUCCCUAAAUGUAAGUUAAGUGG